rnacentral:lncRNA from 1 species
GCUCGUCGCUCUCAUCCAUCAACCGCGCUGCAAAUGGCCUCAGAAACUUAUAUGAGAGCAUCGAUGAUUUGCUUCUCUUGCCUCACAUUCAGCAGAUCGUUUCUGAGGAGUGUGUUGAUAAUUACAUCAGCCUAUUGGAUGCUAGCAGCUCAGUUAAGGAUCUCAUCUCACUCGUGAAGGAAGAUCUACGAGAGCUUCUCUCUGCUGUAAGGAGAAAGGAUGCUCGAGGCAUAAACGGCUACCUUGCUUUAAGAAAGCAGUCGAAGAAAAAGAUCCAAAAGUGUUUGAAGAAGUUGAGACGUAGCAGCGCCUCAGCCUUUUCUGAGAAUGUUUCCAUGUUGAAAGAUGCAGAGUCAGUUGCCAUUUCCUUGCUCGAGUCUCUCUUGUCCUACACGUUGGGGAUGACAAUGCAAGAAAGCAUCAGACGACGAGAAUGAGUUCAACAAGGUGGAUUCAUUCCUGCAACUGAAUCAAGAAAACGAGCUCGUGAAUCACUUGAAAGAGAUGGACUCGAGCAUUCAAGUUGUUGAAGAAGAACUUGAAUCGGUAUUCAGGCAGAUGAUCAAGACCAGACUUUCCCUUCUCAACAUUCUCAACAACUAGAGAUUGAAAAUUUUGUAACUAGUACAUGAAUAUAUAUACUUGUAUAUAUCAAAUUGAUUCACAAGGAUCAUUACAAUACAAUCAGAAAAUUUUCUGCUACAUUCUUGUUCAAUAUCCUGAUAUUAGUAUAUGCUUAAUUUAUCUAUUCAUUCUUAUUGUUGACUUGAAUAUACAAGAUGACAUAUCAAUACAACAAGAUUUACAGCAUCAUACUAUGUUCAUAACUAACAAGAUUUAUAUCUUACAUGUCUACUAACAAAGUUCUAAUAUUAUCUUAUUCAGUUUGUAAUAAUAUUCUCUCCCUCAUUCUAUAUAAAAUCAACAGCUACAUGACUAUCAAAUCAACAGCUACAAGAUAACUGAGCUCUAAAAUACUAUCUAAACUGAUGUCUUCGACAUUUACAGAAAUCAUCUCAAGGUGAUAUCUAAACUGAUGUCUUCGACAUUCAGUUUGCUACAUUUUCUUUUUCAGUUAACAUAAUUAUUUUAGAUAUUUAAAUGCCUAAUUUAUUCUAAUAGGAGAUAUUCGAAGUUCCCAAAGAUGCAGACCAUUGGAUUUUGUUGUCUAUAGGCAAAAAGAGGAGACAUUGGAAAUCUAGAGUCAAAGGUGGGUCUUUUGUUCCUACAUUAGCGAUCGAGAAUCAGGCCCACAAUAGACCUAUUCGGGUACAUGAAGAUCAGUGGAAGAAUUUGUUAUCAUAUUGGGCAAAAGAAGAUGUACAGGUAUAUAAAUUUUGACGCAUUAGUUUAUUCACAUAUUAUUCAACUAACUUCUAGUUUUCAGGAAAUAAGUGAUAAAAAUAGAGAUCAUAGAAAGUGUUCUUCUAUGCAACAAACUACUGGAAAGAUAAGUUUUGCCGAAGUUGAGGAAGAGUUGGUAUGAUUUUAUUUCUUUAUUGUUGAGCUAUUUUACAUUACCAACAAAUGAACGUAUUAGCAUGUUAAUUUCUUUUUGCAGAAAGAAAAAUUGGGUCGAUCCCCAUCACGUGUCGAGAUGUUUGAAGCUUGUUACACUGAUCUCAGUGGUAACCCAUCAUCCGAUGAAGUUGGAGUUGCACUGGUAAGAUUAAAUUUUAAAGAUAGUCAUAAAAAGUCAAGUUUUAUAUGUUAAAACUUACAAGUUAAAUGUUUUUUAUAAACUGACAUGACAGGGAGAAAUGAAAGAAAUUCAAUCUAAAUUUUCAACUGAUUUCCAAGAUUCAGUUGGACCAAGUGACACAUUUUCUAGAGUUAUGGGCAAAGAACCCCGUGGUAGAGUACGAAUGAUUGGUUUAGGUGUUAACCCUUCUGACAUAUCAGGUGGUGUUCCUAGUCGUAGUGAGUGUUAUCGAAUGUUUUUGGAAAAUCAAGAAGCGCUGGUAAGAAUGGAAGAAAAAGUAAACGCAGCGACAACUCUGAUUGCAAGUUUAACAAAAAAAUGCAGCAGAAUACUAGUUUUUCUACAGGACAGCAACCUACAUCUCCGAGUCAGUCGUCCAACUCAGUAAAUAUAGGACACUCUUUUCAGGUAUAUUCUUUUUAUUUUGAGCCUGAUUAAUUUAGUCAUCAAUAAUCAGUUGUUAUAUUAUGGGAGAGAGUUGUGUGCCUGCUUUUAUCAUUAUUUGCUCUCCUACCUCUGUCUUUGCUUUUACUGAUUUUGUUUCCUCCUAAAACUGAGUUUCAGCCCAAUAUAUUGUAGUGUUGGUUGUUGUAAAAGUCAUGUAGCUAUUGAGAUAAAAUAAAUGUUCUAUUAGUGGCUAAUUUAGGACAUGCAUUUCAGGUUGGGGAUGAGGUGCUUUUGAAAAGCUUAUUCAAUUCUAGAAAAGCUGUGGCAAAAGGUCGUAUUCGUAGUGUUGAUCCAAAUCAAGAAGUUGGAGGAAAACGACUUGGACUACAAUGGUGUGAAGUUCAAGUUUCAGUUCCAAUAGAAUGGGAUGAAGAACUAAUUAGGCCGUAUUCGAAUUUGUCUACAAUUGGAGACGCAAUCGGAACAUGCGUUGCAUGGCCUCACCACUUGGUAAUCAUCUUUAUUUGUCUAUGUUGUUGAUUAUGUUGGUAUGCUUGUUCUAUUUUAAAAUAUAAUUGAUAGCAUUGCCAAGAAAAUGCACCUGUAUUUUUUGUUGCAGCAGAUAGCAGUUAACAUAUUUCAACACCACAAAAUUGACAUUUAAUAUUCCAGUUAACAUGUUGUUAUCUCUGUCUCCUUCAUCACAACCAUACAGUACUUCUCCCAAUUUGUCUACAAUUCUAAUGAUUUUUUCUCUUACAAAUUUAGGUGAAAGCCGAUGAUUUGGAUUGAUGAGAUGCUGAAAUAGCUUUAAAAGUGAAGCCUAGCUAGAGGUCUCAUUCUAAAAGAAAGUGAACUGAUGAGCAGAAACUCAUUCUAAAACAAUUGAUAUCAAUAUAGACAAUAUGUAAUAAGCUUUUUACUCAUGAUUGAGUAGCUAUUCCUUCAACAGAAUAUUCAUUAGUGAUGUUUGAAAUUUUAGAUUUGAAAUAAAGCAUUUUAUAUUGGGAUUGAUCUCAUAUUUUAAAAGCAUUAGUUAUAACAUUAUUUCCAUAUUAUAAUUGUAUUUUAAAAGCCUACUAGCAUCCUAAAAUAAGGGACUGCAAUCAUCCCAGAAUAGGACAGAAAAAAAAGUCCUAUUAUGUAUUUUGUGGUAAACCUUUAAUAGGACUCUCCUGAGUGUCCUAAACUAAGUGUCCCAGAAUAGGACAUGCGCAUGCGUCCUAUUACACAUAUUGUGACUAGCGCAGAUAGGACUCAUUUCGGGAGAGUCCUAUACGAGGGAAAGUCCUAUUAUAUUGCAUAAUAGGACACUUAUGAGAGUCCUAUAAAGAGAUUUUUGUUGUAGUGCCUGAAAUAACAUGCAUCAAUCAAGUAUAGUCGGGUGAUUUCUUCUUCACAUCACAAGCACAUUUCCAAAAGUGGAAACAUAUAAGAAUAACCCAUUUGUUAAAGUUUGCUACACUACAUACCAACUUUCUGAAAUUGAUACACUAGCUACCCUUUUUAAUUUUUUGUCAUUUAUUAAUUGUAAAUCAAAUUAUUUCAAGUACAAUAUGGAUAUCAGCUGUAAAUAUACAAGUCCUAUGAGAAAACAAAGAAUAGCGAAGUUGCAAAAAGCAAGCAGUAACAUAUAAGAUGAAGGCAUGAGUUCUUACUUCAGUGGCAGCUAGUUUCUUUACAUC